AGGAAAUGGUAACCCACUCGAGUAUUCUCGCCUGGAAAAUUAUAUGCACAGAGGAGCCUGGAUGGAAAAGAAUUGUAUGGAAACACAGGAAACAUGCACUGUGGGUGUAUGAUUGGAAUCUGUUCCCAUUUACUCAGACGUCUGCCCGUGAGACCUUUCUGAAGUCCCCUCCGCUCCCCGGCUGAAAGGAGCGGAUGGUGGUUCUCAAUCUUGGUUUUGCACUGUUAUCACCUGAGGAGCUUUUAAAAAGUCAUGCUGCCCAUGCCAUACCCAAGACCAGUCAAGGCAGAAUCUCUGGGGCUGGUGCCCAGCCUUUUUGCAGAGAUUGAAACCCCCGCCAGGUGGAAGCAGGUAUGCUGCCCACAAGCGCACAGACCCCCGACAGGUUGGAACCAAGUUGAUGAUGUUGACUCCUGAUUACCUCACCACCAGCCAAUCAGAAGGAUGUCUACGAGCUGAUCAGACACCCCAUGAACCAACCUCCCCGCCCCUCCACCCACCUUGUCUUUAAAAUCCUCCCCAUGAAAGCUUUCAUGGGGUUCAGGUCUUUCAAGUACUAGCUGCCUGGACUAAAUAAUAAACGUUGCAAUAAAUGCUGAGUCUCCUUCACCACAA